UCGGAAUCACUGGGCGUAAAGCGCACGUAGGCGGAUUGUUAAGUCAGGGGUGAAAUCCUGGAGCUCAACUCCAGAACUGCCUUUGAUACUGGCGAUCUUGAGUCCGGGAGAGGUGAGUGGAACUGCGAGUGUAGAGGUGAAAUUCGUAGAUAUUCGCAAGAACACCGGUGGCGAAGGCGGCUCACUGGCCCGGUACUGACGCUGAGGUGCGAAAGCGUGGGGAGCAAACAGG
rnacentral:rRNA from 1 species